rnacentral:lncRNA from 1 species
CAGCAGCCUGCUGGAAGAAUGUGUUUAGGCUGAGGAAGAUAAAGGUAUAACCUCAGGAGAGGUUAGAAAAUGGGAAUGGCUUUUUUUCACCUCAGAUGCCGCCUCUUAGAUCUUGGAAUCGAGCUCCAAGCAGAUGAUAAAGAAGCUGACAUUUCCCUCUCACAACCCAGAUCAGCUCCUAGGCCAGGUUCCUAAGACUUCUGCUGAUGAGUAGGAGAGCUGCACAAUUAUUGAAGUACAUCCACUCUAAUGAGUCAGCACUGUCUGCCUGACAACAGCUGCAAGAGCUGAAGACAUGGCUUUGCAAACCCAAAAGGAGG